UACGUAGGGUCCGAGCGUUGUCCGGAAUUACUGGGCGUAAAGAGCUCGUAGGUGGUUUGUCGCGUUGUUCGUGAAAACUCACAGCUCAACUGUGGGCGUGCGGGCGAUACGGGCAGACUAGAGUACUGCAGGGGAGACUGGAAUUCCUGGUGUAGCGGUGGAAUGCGCAGAUAUCAGGAGGAACACCGGUGGCGAAGGCGGGUCUCUGGGCCGAUACUGACGCUGAUCUGCGAAAGCUAGGGGAGCAAACAGG
rnacentral:rRNA from 1 species